UCAGAAGAAGCUGUGUACUGUAUAUCUUUAUUAUGUGCUAUGUACAUCAUUUACAGUAUAGUACAGCAACAAUACAGGGAUAUGCUACACACUCAGGAUUGCACAGUUUUAGAGUUAGGCCACAGCGGUUGGGUACCGUGGUUAUGAGACAUAACAGUAAGUACAGCAUACAUCUUUGGCUUCAUUGAAAUAACAAAAGCAUGAACACAGACAAUGCAAACUUUAGUCCACAGGAAGUACUGACUAAAAAAAAAAAAAAAACAGAAGGAAGAAAAAAAAAAUCCAUGUUUUCUUCAUAUUUGAGUUGUGUUUCAGGUUAAUACAACAACACAGCCCUGAAUUCAGUCAAAAUGAUUUUCCCACGUGGGAUGUGCCUGUGCAUAUGGAAAUAAUCUGUGCAUACACCAAGGGGAUCACAAUAGCGAGAGUAAAUUCUAAUUCAUUCUCUAACUGGCAUCAUUUCUCCCGGCCUAUUAAUUUGCGGUAAAAUUAAACUAGUCCUCAUUUUGCUGGGCUUGUUUUCCGAUUGAGCCUCUCUGCCUCCUCGUAAUACAGAAUCUCCGAUUCUCCUCCCACCAACACACAGCGGCGGUCACAGCCUACAGAGCGUCGGGUUGAGGGACGGAAUACAGAGAGAAACAGAGGAGACGGAGAUUGGAUGAAAGAUAGAUGGGGAAAGAGAGCAGUAAAGAGCGAGUGGGAGAGAGAGGAGGGGAGUGACACGGUGAGAUAGAGCAAGAGAGAGGGGAGCCGACAGAGAGAUGGAUGCAGCAGGGUCGCUGAGGUGAGGAGAUGGUGUAAUGAUUAGAUCACAGAUACCCUUGAGCCUUCCUCCCGUCCCUCCUGCCCACAAAAAAAAAGAAAAGAAAAAAUCUGGAGGCACACUUGGACGAGAGGAAAGCCUGCAGCUGUAAAUGGCCCCGCUGUCAGAGUUCAUCUGGGUGGAGGAGGGAGAGCAGGAGUGGAUUACCAGAGUCUGCGAUUAGAGGAGCCCACUCCAGCUCUCCAGUUCUCCCCAGACGGGAGAGAGGUGUGCUCCUUCUGCAGCACAACUCUCUCUCACUCUCAAAUCUCAUGUUUGACUGUUCGGAGACAGCAGUCGUGCUGGAGAGCAGGAGGUCCUGAAGGCUCUUACUUGAUGAGAAGUUUCUCGAACAUCAGAAAUGAUCAAUACACGUCAAAAAAAUAAAAAAUAAAAGUCAUGGUGGUAUCUGCCCAAGGAGCAGUUUAAACAACCCUCCUUUUGUACUUUGAUACUCUGGGCUUGUCUUUCAGAGCUUCCUCUGUUUCUCACGCUCGCAGCAGCACGUCUGAGCCUGCUGCCAGCUGUUUCCUUUAAUAUCGUUCACCUCCUAAUCAGAUGAUGUCAUGCCCAAACUUUUGCAGAGUGAGAAGUGGCUGCUAGGCUGUGUUUAAAAUGCUUCCAUCUAGUGGUCACUUAACGACACUGUUGAUGAGCAGAGGAAAGUGUGUCGGGUAGGCAGGGAGACGGCACAAACAUAUGACAACGCGAUCCUUCGGUCUAGUUCUUUAAGAAAACGUCUGCAUAUAAAACACAUUUCUCCUACAUAUCACAAAAGGCGUGGAGAGACGGCGCUGACAAGGAGUUAUUAAUGACUUUCAACUAUAAUGGCUCCAUUAAGCGUAUAUAAAUGGCUUGCUUCAUAAUAAAUCGUUACUUAAAUUCAGAAAAUGUGAUACUCAGUGGCAUCACCGCAGUGCAGACGUGACAGUGGAAGGGCUAGCUCUGACUGGAAGGAUUGCCCUGCGGGCUGAUUCUCGAGUUAGCUGAAGAGCGAUGGUUUCUUUCAUCUCGUCAAAUCAAUACAAACUCUGAAAACUCAACGUCUACAAGAGAAUUUCACCAUAGUUUCCACUUAAGCUGCUCCUUAAGCUUCCCUGCAGUGUGCUCCAAUGACAAAUGCGAUCAUAUUUUAGCUGAACUGCAUGGUUAAAAAAAAAAGAAGG
ensembl:lncRNA